UAUGUAAAAUUUUAAAAAUUCUACAAAGCAAUAUUUUCAUUUUUAAAAAUCAAAUCUUGGUCAUUUUCCAAGGAAGGAUGAGGGUUGUUCUGGAUCCAUCGAGCAACAGGUUUAGCAGAACAUUUAAUGAAUAGUUAAUAAUAGUAUGCAUUGUAGGCUGCAUGUCCGAAGGUUGGGUCAUCUAACAAAUGGCCCAUUGUUAUCUCUUACAACUCUUUGGUUUUCCUCUUACUCCUUCUCUUCUUCGCUUUUUCCCCUUCAUCCUUCUUUCACCGUGCACGAAACGGGCAUGCAUAUAGGGUAAUUCAGAAAAGAGAAACGAUCUUCUUGUGUGCAGAACUAUUAUUACUUUGGUCGAUUGAAAAUACGCAUGAUUUAGUAACUAUUCACUAUCCAAAUUUUUACUUUUAUCAGUCCCAAAAAGAAAAAUAAACAUCUUCUUGGUUUUUUCUUUACUUUUAUUCGAUUAAUGAAAAAAUAUAUAAAAUUAUUUGUAAACUAAAAUUAAAAAGAUAAUUUUUAUUCAUUAUGUAAUAAAGAAGGAAAGACGAGGAAAUAAUCGAUUUUAGCUAUUAGCAUUUUCGAGUAAUCAAUUUUUAAAUACUGAAAUAUGCGUCUAAUAAUCGGAUAAAAUUAAAGGAUAUUCGAUAAAUGAUAACACGAGAGAAUCGCGUACUCUAUAUAUUAUUGGUGUGCUGAGAAGAAAAGGCCGUUUUAUUCGAUACACAACGUACAAUUGAUCUGAACGUAUACAUAUUAUACGGCUCACGAAUGGAAGAGCGAGUCUCGAGGGGAGCAACCGGUGCCGGUUUAUUCCCGAUCGAAUGUUUUUGUCCAACCAUCGCAAACCUAAUUGGAUUCGCUACAAACCACCAACAGUUGUAUACGGACACACGAACACAAUCUCGGUUUCUACAUGGAUACAUAACUCUUCACAGGCACUCAGGCGCUAAUGUCGAUGCAUGUAGCUGGCAGCAACCAGAUUGUGCUACAUUUCUGCAUUGUCGUCCGCCUUCUCCUUUUGUCAUUUUUUAUCGCUCUUCUCACUAAGCAAACAACAAUGAUAGAGAGAUGUACUACAAAAUGGAGCAAUCCCAAAACACGGGAUUAGUAAUCAGAAAAAUAACUUACGGAUAUACUUAUGGAUAUAGGAUGAAUUUUAAACGAGAAAGAAUGAAAAAGAUAGAAAAGGGAUAAAUAUACGUUGGAAAGAGAUAGAAAAAGGAAAUGUUGGCGAAAGAGAAAAUAAAGAGAAUAAAAAGAGAGAGAACAACUCUCAAGAGAUCAAGUUAGAGUACCGGUACAAAAAACCUGUCCCGCAUAAUUACAUUAUCGGUCACAUCUCGUUCGACUUCUGUCUGCAUAGCCCUUCGUUGGACAACCGAAUGCAUUCUCAUACAAUAGAGGCCACAGUUGCCUCGAGGACGAUGCAAUAAGGUCUCUGACGAAACUGCAGGGGGCCUCAAUCAUAGUUUCUUUAUCCCAUUUUUUUCCGAUUCUUAGUAAAAGAUAUCAAAUAUUUUAAUAAAUUCAAUAGAAAUUUUUUGAGAUCUCAUUAUUUCAGUUUGAGUCUUCCUGCUUUAUAAAAAAAUAUAACUUUGAACAAGCUUAAGGGAUAAAUUUGAUAACAAAGAAAAAUUAAUAAUCCUAAAUUUAUAUAAUUUGAUUGUUUAAAGAUUUUUAUUUAUUUAUUAUUAGUUUAUUUUUUUUAUUGACGUGGGAGAUGUUACACAGGUAUUGGAAUGCGCGUUAUCAUUGUUGCUGAUAAACACAAGGCGAAAUCGUUUUGAAAUUUUACAUAAUAUUUUUAACGCAAUAUAAUACAUACUUUCAACCUCUGUUUUAUUAUGAGAGAUGAAAGAAUUUUUAACCAGAUUGCUAAACUCUGAAAACUCUAUACUAUAGAAAAAAUAUUCAAACAAUUGUAUUAUUAGAAAUAUGCAUAAUAAUGUAUCCUUAAUAAGAGCAUACCUUUUUAUGCAUUUUUCUGUCGGAAAAUUGUCGGAAUUAGUAGUAGUAACGUAAUGUACAUUAAAAGUUAGUACGAUAGACGCGCACAUGUUUCAACGAGUAUUCCCUCUUUUUAAUUAUUUUUGUCAUUUUUUUUUUAUAUAUAUAACAUGUGCUGUCUUGUCGUUGUAAAAUGAACACUGUUUUGUAAAAAGUUUCGUAUAUAUCAUACUUUUUUUUUAAAUAUAAAUCUGUGCUUACUACACUAACAUGAUGUCAUUGUUUGACAGUGUAAUAAAAUUGUUAAUGUAAUGAUAAAAAAAGAUCAGAUCUAAUAUACAAAUGUUUCGUGCUAAAGGCUAAUGUUUCUACAUACAAAAAAAAUAAUACAAAAAAAA